CAUAAGUUUCCUGAAGCCUCUCCAGAAGCUGAGCAGAUGACAGCCUCCUGCUUCCUGUACAGCCUGUGAAACUGUGGAAUCAGAGGUUUCUGGCUGACUCGGUGGGUGCUUUGAACCAGGAAAGGACAAGAAAGAGGAUGGGAAGGACUGAUCCACAUUCCCACCAGGAAGUUUAGCAGAACCCCCGCGUGCCACCUGGACCCCUUGGAAGGACCUGGCUCAGGCUGGACCACCUCUUGAGAGGCAGGAGCUCUGGAUUUGAUCAAGAAUUCUUUGCUGAGCAUGGUGCCUCAUGCCUAUAAUCCCAACACUUUGGGAGGCCAGUGUGGGAGGAUCUCUUGAGCCCAGGAGUUCAAGACUAGCCUGGGCAACACAGAGAGACCCCAUCUCUAAAAUAAUAAUAAUAAUAAAAUAAAAAAUUAGCAGGGCAUGGUGGCAUGUGCCUGUAGUCCCAGCUACCCAGGAGGCUGAGGCAAGAGGAUGGCUGGAGCCUGGGAUGUUGAGGCUGCAAUGAACUGUGAUUACCCCACUGCACUCCAGCCUGGGCAAAAGAGCGAGAGACCCUGUCUCAAAUAAUAAUAAUAAUAAUAAUCUUAUUUUGGAGAAUAAAGAGACCUCUGGAUUUGAGGUGCCAUUUGGGUAGAAAGAAAAGACGUUUACACCGAGAAAUAGUCUGUGUUGCCCUGAAGGAGCAGAGGGAUGCAUCGCUGGAGGUGACCUACAGUUGAAGAAGACUCAUUAUGACAGACCUUGUCCUUCUUCCUUGUGGAAAGUGUUUCCUCUGCUGCUACUGCUCAUGAGACUCUUCCCCCUCCCUGUCCCAGGGAACCAAAGGGCUUUCUACCACACCCUUUCUUGCCCCCCGCCUCCCAUGUCUGCUGUGCCUUUGUACUCAGCAAUUCUUGUUUGCUCCAUUAUCUUCCAGCCGGAUACAGAGUGAAUAGUUAACCACACUUAGGUCAAAUAGGAUCUAAAUUUUUGUUCCUGCUCCGUGUAAAGAGGCCAGUGUUUGUGUGUUGCAAGCAGCCUUGGAAUAGUAACUCUUCUCAUUUGUUUGGGAUCUGGCCACCAAGUUCCAGAAUGAUACACGGAUCAGUGCAGAAGUUCAUCAGGCUCUCGGACCUUAGGGCUGUUGGAGAAGGCUUCAGCAGCAGAACUGAUGGUGAAGGCUCGUGUUCUCCAUCCUCAACUUUCUUUGCUUCGAUCAUACACAAGAAUACAUUUGGAAGGGCAAAAAAUGAACACUGUCGUUCAUUGCAGCCGUGUUUUGUGACACAGAUGCACAGUCUGCUGUGAAGACCUUCUCUCAAGUGGCAUUUGGGAGUCCAUGCCAGAUCAUGGUGCUUCAUGAGAGACUGACAGCUAUCAGGGGUUGUGGCACUUAGUGAGGACUCUCCUCCCCCAGUGUGUGCUGAUGACACAUACACACCUGACAAUAGCUUGAGUCUUCUCUGUUCCUUUUACUCUGUAGCCAACAUACACAUGAUUUAAAACCCUUUCUAAAUAUCUAUCAUGGUUCAUCCUUGUCCAAAUGCAGAGUCAGAGCUAUUUGUACUUCAUUAUUAUUUCCAAGGCGAAUAGUUGGCUUUCUUUUUGCAAAAAUAAUUAAAGUUUUUGUAUGUUGCA
rnacentral:lncRNA from 1 species